AAAACAUCAUUCGGACCGUCGUUCUACCGAGCAAUAAUCACCUGCUCGGUGGAAGAUCUUCCUUUCGUCGUUUAAG
rnacentral:pre_miRNA from 1 species